GGUAGGAUGGCUGAGGUAUAAGUGAUAAAUUGUAAAUUUAUUAAGGAGAUUAUUCUCUUCUACCA
rnacentral:tRNA from 1 species